GGGGAUGUAGCUCAGUGGUAGAGUGUGUGCUUAGCUUGUUUAAGGUCCUGGGUUCAAUUCCCAGCAUCUCCA